UUCUUAUCCAGAGAGACUGAGGGAACUGGUCCUAUGACGUCUCGGCAACGGACUCCAAUGAGCACCGUGCCACUUCCAACAAGCGUUUGCGCUUGAUAGAUGAGAA
rnacentral:ncRNA from 2 species